GAGGACAAUCUGGCCGGAACCGGAGCCAGCUGUGAGACCCGUGGAACGAGAGGGUAAACUGUGCUCUUGUCAUGUAAUACUUGUGAUUGGCUGCCGGCCAGAUAUGCAAUUAUGGACAACAAGCAGACAAAGAGAGAGAGCUGCCCCCGGCCCCGGCCAGGAGGCACCCGGAGGCCUCAUCUGGGACCCAGCCGUCCUCAUCUGGGACCCAGCAGUCCUCCUCUCGGAGCCAGCCGUCCUUCUAGACUCCUGGGUAGACAAAACGUCCAGGUGAAGACGGCCCAGCACCUGGACCUGGGAGCCCAGCUUAUCUCCCCACCAGGACAUGUUGAAGUGGUGCAGAGAGUCUGUGUUUGCAGAGAGGUGGCCCGCCUGGUGAACAGGAGACCCAGGACGGCCUGCCUCCUCCCAAGGUUUCUGAGUCUCAGGAGGAACCUCUUCCUCCUCCUUACAGUCGCCCGGUGGCUCGUCUGUGGCACUAAAUCAGUUUGUUGACAAGCCAAAGGAGGGAGCUCCCAGCUGCUUGCCAAUUCAGUCUGUGUUUGGAUCCUACGUUUAAACACGCUUCUCCAUUUGCUGCUUUAUCGGACCCGACUCUGAGGGAUGUAGCUUUGCAUAAGCUAGAUAAAGAGCUCUCUGCUAUCUCUGUUGCCAAUGCAUUAUGGAGCAUUGUCAAAGAGACUUCCCCUUGAGCUUCAUAAAUGAAACCAUUGGAAGAAUGAGACAAAACUCAUUUAUUCAAUGAUCAUCUGACUAUAAUGUAUUAUCAUAUAGAUUUUGGUCUGUUUUGCUAUAUAGUGACAUUUAGCUGUGGAGGCAUAAUUUUUCAAUCAAACGAAUGGUUUAAUAUGUCUGGGAAUAUCAUUUGGCCUCAUGUGGGCCAUUAAUCAAGUUGUUGACCUAGAGAUAGUCUACCCAAGGUCGCAGCUCCACCCAGGCUGAUCAGGCCAUAGGUCAGAGGUGACCGGGGUGAUCAUAAUGUGUGGGCUGUUAAAUGAAUCACAUGGAUGCUUUUGUUUUCUAUGUAUCCUGCUCAUUUCUUUGAUUUGUUUUAAAUACAUUGUGGAAUUGUCACGGCAACAAAGGAGAGAGACGCUUUUGGGUGGAACACAAAUUAUUUCAUGAUUUGAUUGGGUUUUUGAUUGGGGGCAGAAAUAGGGCAGAAAUUUAAAUUUACCUAAUCCUGGAAUCCUCUCAAAUUUGUCAUACACUUAGCGAAGGCUCACUAGUGUCGUGCACAUAACAACAAACCGUGUGUUAAUAGCAUGUUGGUGUGUAGUUUGUGCGACAUUUGAGCGAUGUGCUUCAUCUCUUUCUCUGUCCGCCACACCAACGUCUUUUGCAAGCGGUCCAACGCAUGCGCAUCAAGCUUCUUCCAGGAAACACUAACGUUUUGAUUUGAUCUGUACACUUGUGAAAGAUUAUUCUAAUAAAAGAUUAUUUAACA
ensembl:lncRNA